rnacentral:misc_RNA from 1 species
GUUCACAAAAGCGAUAAGCAUAAGAAAGGAAAAAGGAAAAUAUGGCUCUUAAGUAUUAACCAAGCAAAGUGGAGGAAAAGCACCAAUGUAGAUAACCCCCAACUAGGUUAAGAUAAAGGCUGAGUUAUUUUGAGGGAUUAAUUCAUGCAAACAAUCACAAAAAGAAAGGACAUUAACAAUUUCACCUUACAGUAAAAGUAUGGAACAGCAUUUCACCUAUCAAUCAGCCUUCCACUUACCGACUCUUGCCUAGUGACCCAAG